UACGGAGGGUGCAAGCGUUAUCCGGAUUUACUGGGUUUAAAGGGUGCGUAGGUGGGUCUGUAAGUCAGUGGUGAAAGCCCACGGCUCAACCGUGGAGGGUCAUUGGAAACUGGGGAACUUGAGUGCAGAAGAGGAUAGUGGAAUUCCAAGUGUAGCGGUGAAAUGCGUAGAGAUUUGGAGGAACACCAGUGGCGAAGGCGACUAUCUGGUCUGUAACUGACACUGAGGCGCGAAAGCGUGGGGAGCAAACAGG
rnacentral:rRNA from 1 species